AAAGGCCAAUCAAACCCGGAAAUAGCUGGUUCUCCGCGAAAUCUAUUUAGGUAGAGCGUCAUGUAUUGCCGUCGGGGGUAGAGCACUGGAUGGGCUAGGGGGUCCCAACGACUUACCAAACCUAACCAAACUCCGAAUACCAUGGAGUAAUGCGAGGCAGACACACUGCGGGUGCUAAGGUCCGUAGUGGAGAGGGAAACAGCCCUGACCGCCAGCUAAGGUCCCUAAGUUAUCACUAAGUGGGAAACGAUGUGGGAGUGCUUAGACAACCAGGAGGUUGGCUUAGAAGCAGCCAUCCUUUAAAGAAAGCGUAACAGCUCACUGGUCUA
rnacentral:rRNA from 1 species